UACGAAGGGGGCUAGCGUUGUUCGGAAUUACUGGGCGUAAAGCGCGUGUAGGCGGUUGUUCAAGUCAGGUGUGAAAGCCUUGAGCUCAACUCAAGAAAUGCACUUGAUACUGGAUGACUAGAGGACCGGAGAGGAUAGUGGAAUUCCCAGUGUAGUGGUGAAAUACGUAGAGAUUGGGAAGAACACCAGUGGCGAAGGCGGCUAUCUGGACGGUUUCUGACGCUAAGACGCGACAGCGUGGGGAGCAAACAGG
rnacentral:rRNA from 1 species